GCCACCUUAGCUCAGUCGGUAGAGCAGCGCAUUCGUAAUGCGCGGGUCGUGGGUUCGAGUCCCAUGGGUGGCUC
rnacentral:tRNA from 1 species